UGUAUUUAUGUUUGAGAGUAAAUAUUGUAUAGGGUGAGGUGUGAGUGUUUGUACUUACGUUUUGGAAGAAUGUAAAAGAUGAAAUUAAAUGUAUUAAGUUGAAUGAAUGUAAUAGUUAGAACUUUCUCUCUUUAUCUACUUGUAUGCUUCAUACUUAUAUCUUGCUCUUAGUUGUUUGCGCUGGUGGCGCUCUUUGUGAUCGUGUAUUUAUGAAUUGAUUCCUGGGUAAAUUCUUAUACAUGAUCUGUUGGUUAGCCUUACGCGGGUAGGGGAGGUCCUGUCCGUUCGGCGUCUGUUCGACGCGCCCGGACUGGACCAAAUUGGUUACGGUCUCGGGGUGUGACAAUAUCCACACAUGUAUCUUGAUUACAUUUAACCAAAUACAAGCUUUCCAUGAACUUACAUUCUUUUGCAUACACCUUACAUAUCCAUCAUCUAAAAAUAUAUAAAUUAACAUCAUUUACAUAUUUACAUUCCAUUACACCUUUCAUCAUAACCAAAAGAUAAACAAGGUACC
rnacentral:lncRNA from 1 species